UUUUAUGUUUAGACUUAAAUUCAUGAUUUCUUGAUAAAUUUUCUUACGCUCGGUGUAAGUGACGUCCUGGUGGUUAAAGGCCAGCGUCAGGUACUGGCUCGCAGUAGUGUUCACGUGAGUUUGCACCACUGCUGUCCCGAUGAGCUCGUUAACCAUAUCACAUUGUUCGAUCGCUGCCUCGGCGCGAUCGGUUAGGUAAAUCGGGAUGAUGAAGUCGUCCAUAUCUCUUGAUCGCAGCUUAAGGGACCUUGGACUCGGCGGGUUAGACGAGAACUUUAGAAAAUGUUGGGGAAAGGUUUGAAAAAUAACGGCUGGACUGGCUGGACUCGAUGCGAUUUCGGACUUGUUCGGAAGAGAUUUGAAUUUGAAGUUCAACAAUGAACAACAAAAUAUACGAAAAAUAAGCGUUUUUUAUUGGUGAGAGGCAUGGAUUUGGGAUUGGCCAAUUAGCAGCCUGAAUUCUUGCGAUUUCACGUGACGUCAUCAUGCGACUAUAGCCGCGCCCCCAAACAGCUCGUUUGUUGUUGCGAACUUUUUCAUUUCUUUUUUACUUUUGUACUGUCGGAUCGCACGCAAAAUGUAGGAAAUACGGGAAAUUUGAAUUUAUAUUAAUGUCAUACACGUACUUCACUUCUCUUCUAUUAUGGGCAUGUAGAGAAGACGCAGACUAGGCCGAUGAGACAAAGUGUACGUGGAAUCAUGGAACACGACAGCGGCCGGAGGCUAUGGUUCGACGAUCGACGACCUUUUGAAUUCACUCAAUUUGACGAAGCGCAACACUGCAAAGGAAUUAUUGGAGUUUUGUAUUAUAAAAAUUAAUUUACAGUUGCACGAAUUUGAAUUGGAACACUCUUCAGAGUCUUCAGUCCAAACUGGAGUCAGUUAUUGGGCGUAAUUUUGUUGCACGAACAAAUGCGAGAGACCUGCUCAAGAAGGAAAAGACGCAGGUGCUGGAUGGAAGAAAUCCUGGGGCCGAUCAUAUGCUCCCUGGAGACGCUGAAUCCGCAGCUGGUUCGUCUGAAGGUGCUUACGGGCAGGUACGAGGAGACCCUGGAGACAUGGCUGGCCAUGAAAUUUCUUGUCAUCGAGUACAAAAGCACUGUGGAAGUCCAUUGAUGACGAAUGUCCCACUUGGGACGCUUCAAACGUUUGGGACAACUCGCAACAACUCUUGCAAUAAGUGUGAAGAUCAGCUGCUGCUGCAGAUUUGAAUGUCCAGUCUAGAGUGGAAUCGCUGGAAAAAGGGAGGCCUCACCUUGGUGCCCCUUGGCCCAAAAUUGCUGAAACUUCAGCUCUUAAUCAGUAAAUUGACCUAAAAUCAAGUUCCAAAUUGGCUGUAUCUGACAAAAUACAAAAAUAUAUAAGACUGAAGUUGAAAGCCUGGAAAAAGUUGAGAAGAAGUUUGCCAAAAUUUGUAAAAACCUGGAGGAAGGGGAGAAAUUUGGAAAAAGCGAUCUCUGCUUGCGUGUUGGAGCAUUAAGAAACAACCGUUGACCGCUUCUAAUUUGCACAUCUGGGAAUUCUCUCCUGACACUCUAGCAUUGUCUUAUCAACCCCCUGAAGUUUCCUCACAAAUAAGGACCGAAGCGACUGGAGAGAGUGCCUGACGGCGAGUCAGGAGGUGUCAAGGCGCUCAACCAAUUCCACCAUGCAUGUGUGGAGGUUCUUGGGAGAGUCCGGCUGGUGCCUUCCUGGCCAAAUGGUCUAGCUGGCGCACCACUUGCAAGAUGUAGAGAAAAGACUUGUAGAGAAGCAAAGCAGCUAGAUGAACUGGAGUUGGUCGUGCAGCAGCUGAAAAAGGUCAAAAAAGAAAAGAACCUUUUGCACCACGAAUUGGCAUGUAACAGGAAGAUCGAUCUUCUUGCAGAUCUCCUUGAGAAGCUGGUCAAUGAAAACCGCAGACGCUAAAGCAGCUCAUAAGGUGCAAGCGCUCGAAAGGGUCGAGAAGAGGCUGCGCAGCACAAAGAACAGUCCUGCAGCAUCACCAACAACCUGAACAAUGCUAUCAACUCGCUGGAGCAGAUCGCUGUCAUGUUCAUUCUGCACGAGCGUACCGAACAGCAACUUGUUCUAGCUCAGUCCUAUUGUGCAGAACGACCAUCUUCAGGGCCUUGUUGGGAUGCUCAAUAAAGAGGACCUUUCUGCACUGCAAGAGUCUCUGCAGAAAGGCAAUCAUGUGGACCAGGUUUUGUCUGACCUCGACCGCCAGCAGAGGGCCUCACCCUGACAGUGCCUUCCGUGCCCUGUUGCAGUAACUGGGCCCUGAGGGUCUCACUUUGGCCAUCAGAUCAGUUGCCUGCUAGUGCUUUUGCAUCUGAAAAUGAUAAUUUUGACAAAAUGAUCGCGAACAAAGAAGACGAAUUGAAGGUAGAUAAAGAGAAGAAAAAAAGCAUGUUCGCUUACUACGCAGCCUUCAAUGUCUUCGUUGGUCGUGAACUGCAGACCCUGAAGGGCCUGAAGAGAAGGAAAGAAGAGAGUGAGGAGAAAUUGAAAGAGUUGGACAAGUUUGAAAGCAUAAAGAGAAAAAGAUUGGAAAAUGAACACUAGGAGUUGGAGAAGAUGGAAAAGUUCCUCAAGGAAGGAUAAUGUUUAUUAGUGGAAUAAUUAAACUCUUGUUUAAUAUGUUACUUAA